rnacentral:lncRNA from 1 species
UGUAUGGAACGCCAAAGUGACGCAAAAUUAACUGCUUGAAAUUUACUGCAAUUCACCACCGCCUUCUAGCGGGCGGACCGAAAAUCGUCGUUUCUCUGCCUCUUUUGGGGAGGGGUUCUAAGCUAUCGAUUGCAAUGCAAUAGUUAGCUUAACAAUUGAUUUGCAAUCGUCUCAGACGAAUGUUAUUGUUUACAAUCGCAAGGUAAAAACAAAAAAAUCAAAGUGGUUCUUUUUGCUCUAGCAAAUUUUCAUUAGAAGGACAUAUCUAAUAAGUGAAGCCGUGAUGAACCCUUAAAACUCAUAAGGAGAAGUGUUGAUGAUAGUCGAGGACUGUCGAAUAGGCCAUUUGCAAACGUACUUGCCCAAUCACCGACAUAACUCGAAUUUGAUUGAUUGAUGGAAAUCUCUCAGUUCCGGACAUGCAGGAAAUACUGCAUGCAUUAAAAGAAAGCAAGGUUAAAGAGAAAGCAGUGACAGUGAGAUACCUAAUACAAAGAGGCAGAUUGCAAUCACAUACUUCAACUCAAUAGUCCAUGAUGUAAACUUGGCAGGUGAAUGUGAGCAGUAUCAUACUGGGUUUGCCAAGAACACCGAACACCCCAAUACCAAUUUGUUGUACUGGCCAUGUCCACAGCGGACUUAAUAUCUUGAAUAACUGCCAGAAGAAUGGAUUAUUGGACCUGCAAAAAACUGAGUCUGUAACUGGGAAUUAAUUAAUUGAAAACGAGCGUUGUUACAUGUUUGUUCUACCCGGGAAGGUACUCUACAACACAGCUGUGACGGUCAGGAUCAAGUGCGACAACCGCACUUGCUUUACGACAGCGAGGACGAGUCAGACGAGCGGGACUGCCAUUCGGCUAGCCCGUGCA